CAGGGAGGGCAUGUCAGGCUCACAGCUUUUCCCCUCUCCUGCCUGACCCUGGUCCUGCCAAAGGUCCCAGAGCCCUUUGGAACAUCCAGGGAAUUGCAAGAAGACAUCUCAAGCCAUCCUGAUGGGCAGGACUGCAGAUCAGCCUCCUUCCCUGGGGCCCAGCCCACGAAGGUGACUUCUUUGCCUUCAUUCCUUACAGUUAUUCCUGGAUAAUCUGUUAUUUCUGCAGGCCAUGUGUGCUUUGUCCUAUUUAAAGGCAGCUAAAAAUGCUUCGGCAAGGUGAACCCUUUUUCACGGCACCCACGGGACCAUACUUGCAGCGUCCUCCCCUGGUGCUGCCCCUGACCGGGAGUUUUCUCCUCUCCAGCUCCUUCCCGGCUGCUGCUGCUGGAUUCCUCCUCCCAGCUCCCCCUUGCCCCACAGGCAGGGCCAUGCCGGUGAGCGCUGGAUGGUGGGAUUCAGCCCCAAACCCCAGCCGCGCGCUGCCCUCCGUACUCACUCAAAGAAGAGCAGCAGGUCCGGUGGUCCCUGGGCAAACGCGAGGAUGUCGGCAGCGGGCAGGUUGCUGGCUGGGAGACACUGGAAACCUUGCAGGACCGAGGCCGAGAGGCUUUGGUGGGGAAGCACAAUUGCAUUUCACCUUCUACUUUGGCUCCUCAACACCCCAAGGAGAACAAACUGGCUCAUUGCUUUGGGAAACACCCCUUCAACCUGACUGUGUGCGCUUCCACACAGUAAUUUAUGAUCCCGCUCUGAAAUGCCAUCCAGGAUGUGCCACAAGGAAUAAAAAUAAAGAAAGCAAAGCCUUUU